AUUGUUGAUUGCUCAAGAAAAAUAUAUUAAGGAGUAUAAUGGUCUAAACCGCAACAAGAUAAGAUAUACACAACAGCUCUAUAUAAUAAGAGCAAGUGCCUGGGAACAAGUACGGAGAUAUGGGGUCGAUAAAAUCCAUGAUUGGGCAAUACGCACGCCCAGUUGCUGUUGCAGUGGUACUGGUUGCAAUCAGCCUGGCUGUGGUCUUCAUCUUUUGCAGACAAAAUGGUUACCGACAGAAUCGUCGACUAAAUAUACCACCUCACAUUGUACAAGCUAUUGACGAGGGGGAUGGGGGUGUCAUGGUGAUAGGUCGAUGACGGUAUGCCUACGUCCGCCCACAACACUCGAUUGACACAACGAAACACUGUAUACCACCUUAAAAUUAAUUAUAGAUUUAUAUUACAAAAAGUCAUCUUAUUCAUUUGAGUUCUGAAUCAUUCAGUAUCAAAUGUGACACUAAAAUUAUAUACCUGCCUGUAUAAUAUGUAUAUCUCUCACUGCUACUGCUGUGUAAUUAUAAUUAUGGAUAUACUACAUAAAAGGAUCGCCAAAUAUCAAAGUGUUAUCACAUCAACCACAUUAUAAUUAAAAGAAAACCACGAAAGAUCUUCAGAUUCACU